rnacentral:lncRNA from 10 species
CAGCUGCCUCAGGAAGUUGAUCUCGUCAGUCAGCCCUUCCAGAAGUCACACUAUAUGACACCCAGGACUCGGCCUUAUGAGAUCGUCAGCUUCCACAGGCUCUCUUGAAGCACUCCCUGUUAGAAGCCGGCAGCCAUCUAAGUCUAUCUUAAGAACAUGUUACUGUGAGGAUGCCCAAGCUAUGUGGAGAGAGAAAGAGGCCAAUAGAGAUGCACUGACACCAAACAAGAAGCUUUCUCGGACUUUCUGGCUCAGCUCAACCACCAGCUGAAUGCAGCCAAGGAAAGACUCAGCCAACGUCACAGGGAGCAGAACCCUCCAAAUGAGUGACACUGAAUUCCUAAUCCACAGAAUCAUGAGUAAAUAAAUGACAGUAGCUUUUGCUCAUCAAAUUCUGGGUAGUUUGCUUUGCAAUAAUAGUAACAUAAAUUUAGUAGAGUUGGACACAAUUUGAAAGAAAUACAGGCUGGGUGCGGAUGCUCACGCCUGCAAUCCCAGCACUUUGGGAGGCUGAGGUGGGAGGAUCACUCGAGGUCAGGAGUUUGAGACCAGCAAGGCCAACAAGGUGAAACCACGUCUCUACUAAAGAUAUAAAAGUUAGCCGGGUGUGGUGGCAGACUGAGGCAGGAGAAUUGCUUGAAUCUGGGAGGCGGAGGUUGCAGUGAGUGGAGAUUGCACCACUGCAUUCCAGCCUGGGCAAUAGGGAGG